rnacentral:rRNA from 1 species
GGACGACGCUGGCGGCGUGGAUUAGGCAUGCAAGUCGGACGGUAGGGCUUUAUCGUAAGAUAGAGUUUGAGAGUGGCGAACGGGUGAGUAACACGUAGGAAUCUACCCUUAAGACGGGGACAACCCAGGGAAACUUGGGCUAAUACCGGAUGAGAGUGCGAGAGAUUGCAUUUAAAAGGAUGGCGAAAGUUGUCGCUUAGGGAUGAGCCUGCGGUCUAUUAGUUAGUUGGUGAGGUAAGAGCUCACCAAGGCGAUGAUAGAUAGGCGGCCUUAACGGGUGGUCGCCCACACUGGGAUUGAGAUACGGCCCAGACUCCUACGGGAGGCAGCAGUCGAGAAUAGUCUACAAUGGUCGGAAGACUGAUAGUGCGACGCCGCGUGAACGAUGAAUCCCUUCGGGGUGUAAAGUUCUUUUAUAUGUGAGCAGUGCUUCUUAUAUUAACAGUAUGGGGAGAGAGAUAUUAGCAUAUGAAUAAGCAACGGCUAACUCCGUG